AUGGGGGCAUCCCCAGGACACACGUCCACAUGCCAACUUCCAGCACAUGGAGCGGAAGGGACGCGGCCAGCAGCCCGGGGACGCCUGGGGCCCCAGAUGCCGGAAGAGGCUGCCGGGACCCUCCCCGGAGCCUCCGGAGGGAGCGCGGCCCGCCUGGACCUCAGACUCUGCUCGCCAGACUUUGGGGAGCGAAGGCAGCCCAGAGUGGUGAGCGCCGUGUCCAGCACGAGUCCUCAAGCGGCACCUCGGGGCGUCUUGAGACAGACUGGUCAGACCGGCGACCCUGAGCACCACAGCCCGUCGGGGCUGCUGAUCCCCGGGGUUCGAGAGCCGCCCCCCCAGCCGGGCCCAGCCAUCUGCGUGUCCUCGCCAGCAGCCCGCGUGGAAAGAAUGCCCUUGCGGAGGACAGCUGAGUUAAGUCUUGUUUUGGCAGCACAUAACUCGGGUUAUUUUAAGGGCUCUUGUUCAUGCCCCAGAGGUUAUGUACCAGCAGAUUGCAGGAAAUCACAGCCACGCAUGGCAUUAGGGCCGCAUUACUGUCUGGCUCCAGAAUCCGAGCCGUGAGUUGUGAAGAUGGCUGUCAAGUUUCCUAUCUGGAUUUCAACCCCACACCUGCACCGUGAGGUGAAUUACUCCUGCAGUGGACCCUCCCCAGUGGAUCUGUGGACAGGUGGGGUCUGUGGACAGCUGCAGUGGAGUCUGUGGACAGGUGACGCCCCGCGGCCGUCGGAAGCAGCACGCCUUCCACAG
rnacentral:lncRNA from 12 species